GCAGCCGCGGUAAUUCCAGCUCCAAUAGCGUAUACUAAAGUUGUUGCAGUUAAAAAGCUCGUAGUCGAAUGAAGGUUUCUUGUAUAGCGCGGACGUCUAGGUGUAACUUAGAUUAGUUUGCGCACAAGAACCUCCCUUGUGUGUCUCAGAGGAGCAAAUAUUUAUUUAUUUUGAUCCAUUUGCGACACACACAUUACUGUGAACAAAAUAGAGUGUUCAUGGCAGGUCAAUUUAGGCUUGAAUACCUCAGCAUGGAAUAAUAGAAUAGGACUUCCGGUUCUAUUUUGUUGGUUUUGGAGCCGAAGUAAUGAUUAAUAGGGAUAGUUGGGGGCACUCGUACUCCGUUGUCAGGGGUGAAAUUCUAGGAUUGACGGAAGACGAACAACUGCGAAAGCAUCUGCCAAGGAUGUUUUCAUUGAUCAAGAACGAAAGU
rnacentral:rRNA from 1 species